rnacentral:rRNA from 1 species
UCCGUAGGUGAACCUGCGGAAGGAUCAUUACCGAGUGCGGGCUGCCUCCGGGCGCCCAACCUCCCACCCGUGACUACCUAACACUGUUGCUUCGGCGGGGAGCCCCCUAGGGGCGAGCCGCCGGGGACCACUGAACUUCAUGCCUGAGAGUGAUGCAGUCUGAGCCUGAAUACAAAUCAGUCAAAACUUUCAACAAUGGAUCUCUUGGUUCCGGCAUCGAUGAAGAACGCAGCGAACUGCGAUAAGUAAUGUGAAUUGCAGAAUUCAGUGAAUCAUCGAGUCUUUGAACGCACAUUGCGCCCCCUGGCAUUCCGGGGGGCAUGCCUGUCCGAGCGUCAUUGCUGCCCUCAAGCCCGGCUUGUGUGUUGGGUCGUCGUCCCCCCCGGGGGACGGGCCCGAAAGGCAGCGGCGGCACCGUGUCCGGUCCUCGAGCGUAUGGGGCUUUGUCACCCGCUCGAUUAGGGCCGGCCGGGCGCCAGCCGGCGUCUCCAACCUUAUUUUUCUCAGGUUGACCUCGGAUCAGGUAGGGAUACCCGCUGAACUUAAGCAUAUCAAUAAGCGGAGGA